rnacentral:rRNA from 1 species
UACGUAGGGGGCAAGCGUUGUCCGGAUUAUUGGGCGUAAAGGAGCGUGUAGGCGGCCAGGUAGGUCGCUGUGAAACUCGAGGCUUAACCUCGAGCUGUCGGCGGAAACCAUCUGGCUAGAGUCCGGAAGAGGAGAAUGGGAAUUCCCGGUGGUAGCGGUGAAAUGGCGCAGGAUAUCGGGAAGAACACCCGGUGGCGAAGGCAGGUCAUCUGGGCC